GAGAGAAUUCAGAUUAAUGUACAUGAGCAUGAGGAGGAACCUUGUCAGAGUUUUCUCCUUCCCUGCCACUGAUUUUGUAAUCCCUGUUUAGAAGAUUUCGCUGAGGCCGGCUGAUCGGCAUCCAACCAGACAAGUUGUCAUCGGAGUUCUAGCCAAGUGAGGGGAGCCAUCAGGAUGGUGGAUGGUUGUACUGGGAAAGCAAUGCACCCUCUGGGCUCAUCAUCUCAAGGGCCAAAGUGGAGCAGUCCGAGCACAAGUCCAGGGUUGUAUGUCACCUGCAAAGAUCUCCUUUGGCAGAGAUAAUUUCCUGCUAUUACCCCCAAACCAUCAGGACAAGAGGAUGGAGGGAUGAAGAGUUAGUGGGACCCAGGAGCUGAUUGCCACAAAGGGAUAAAACGAG